ACAUCCAUGGCUCAAAGCGUAUGCAUACAUUUCGCUCUUUGACACUGACCUCAAAAGCACAUAACCAAAUCGAGCGACUGUCCUUUCGGAUCUGAACAAUUGACUCCGUAUAAUUUACGGUCGCAUUAUGUAGGCACAAACCGAAAUGUCCUGGGAGGACCAGCAAACUCUCAACAAGUUUGCAGUCGAAAAUACUAGGAAAAACUCAAUCAAAGAAGAAAUCAUGCUCAAUUCUGAAGAACUAGACACGCUCAAGUAUCUCGAACAAGAACUCGAGCUAGAUCUCGAAGACACCGUCCUUUAUCGAUAUGGAGAGGUUUACAUUCCUGUCGACAAAGAAGAAGCCAUAAAGCAGAUCACCGAAAGAUCUAACAGUAUCAACCAAAAAAUUGACUCGCUGAGAAUGGAAUUGGAAAAGACUGAAGAUGACAUUAUCCAAUAUAAGGCCGAGCUCUACGGAAAGUUCGGACACGACAAAAUCAACCUGGAAGAUUAAAACCGAAUCGUCCAAAAAUAAUAAAAAUAAUUUCAAAUAUCAAAGGUUUUUUCGGCGAAUCAAUGGCAGCCAUGAGUGCUGCUUCUGCAAGUGUAGCGAACAAACUGCUGAGACCCGUUCGGAUAAAUGGGGCAUACAGGAAACCAAUAGGUGCCCGCCAACGAGCACUAUUACAUAGAGAGCCCCAUGAUUUCACUCCCAAACCCUGGCAAAUUCGUCACCCUAAAUUAAACAAACACGAAAGACUUGCUCCGAAAAGAAAGGAAAAUAUAGAAAAAAAUACUCAGUUGAUAAAAAAAAAAAUGGAGAUCCCUGCCAAACGAGAUCCAAAACGACUCG